rnacentral:lncRNA from 1 species
CAGGUGGAUCACAUGCGGGAGAUCACGGAGUAGUCAGGGUCGCACGAGAAUAGACAAUGACAUCUAAGGAGAGGAAUAGGAUGCCACCUGCUCCGCCGAAUGCACUCCCUCCAAAGCCAUCGGAUGACUUUAGGCUCUCAACAUCUAAUAGUGAAAAGGAAAACAUCUAAUAGUUCUAGUGCAUUCUUUAGGCUCUCAACAUCUAAUAGUGAAAAGGAAAACAAAUACAUGAAUGAAAUUUUUAGCAAGCAUGAGAAACAAAAUCCAAUACAAAACAGUACCUUGCAUGAUGAUGCAGUAACAGUGCAAGGGUUGCUAAGGAUCUAAAAAUGUUGCUAGAAUGAGAAAUGCAAUGGUUUAUU